CCAUUUGGGAACAUCUGGGGAGCUGGAGCAAAGGUGGAAGAGUGGAAAGGAACAGGAGGGGAGCUGCUGCUGGAGUGCAGGAACUCUAUGGCAACCCUGCAGGGAGCUGAAGGAAGAGACAGUUGUCUCACUGGUCCCAACCCCGAGACAAGGAGACUACUAAUGGUCCCUCUGGCACGCGACUACCAUUCUCCAUUACACAAGUACCACAGACUUCAGAUAUCUGUGCAAUAGUUUGCUUGGCACAUGGCUGACAUUGUCCUGCUAUUUAUGAAAUCAAUAAAAGCCUUCUUGUUUCUUGAGCA